GCCUCCGUAGCUCAAUUGGAUAGAGCAUCAGUCUUCGGAACUGAGUGUUGCAGGUUCAAGUCCUGCCGGAGGUA
rnacentral:tRNA from 1 species